rnacentral:rRNA from 1 species
GAUGAACGCUGGCGGCGUGCCUAAUACAUGCAAGUCGAGCGAACAGACGAGGAGCUUGCUCCUCUGACGUUAGCGGCGGACGGGUGAGUAACACGUGGAUAACCUACCUAUAAGACUGGGAUAACUUCGGGAAACCGGAGCUAAUACCGGAUAAUAUAUUGAACCGCAUGGUUCAAUAGUGAAAGACGGUUUUGCUGUCACUUAUAGAUGGAUCCGCGCCGCAUUAGCUAGUUGGUAAGGUAACGGCUUACCAAGGCAACGAUGCGUAGCCGACCUGAGAGGGUGGUCGGCCACACUGGAACUGAGCCACGGUCCAGACUCCUACGGGAGGCAGCAGUAGGGAAUCUUCCGCAAUGGGCGAAAGCCUGACGGAGCAACGCCGCGUGAGUGAUGAAGGUCUUCGGAUCGUAAAACUCUGUUAUUAGGGAAGAACAAAUGUGUAAGUAACUAUGCACGUCUUGACGGUACCUAAUCAGAAAGCCACGGCUAACUACGUG